UAUUUUCAGAUUUUUAACUUUAUUUAUUUAAGCACUAACCACAGAAAAUGAGGAUUUAAUGGCAGCAUGAAAGAUUUAAGUUAAACCGGAAAGAGGCUGAGAGAAAGAGGAUACAUCUUAUGGAUCGUUUACUUUAUACCAACAUUGUGCUAAAUAUUUUUUAUAUCUUACUUAAUAUAUCAGUGAGGGCUGUCAUUAAAAAUACUAAACGUGUUAAUUAGUUUAUUCUCUUAUUUAGAAAUUAUUUGUUAAGCAUCCUUUGUGUACAAACAUAUACCAGAAGAUAAAGAGGAGGUAAACAGAUUUGUAAAUAUACAUCCUUUUUUUUUUUUUUUUUUGGUUAUAGGAGAAAUUAAUUAAUCACCUUGGAUCAUCUUCUUUGAGAAUGAAUAUAAGAUUAGAUUAUAUCCCAAGACAUCCUAACUCUAUAAAUCUAUGCUGAAGAAUUUUGUUUUCCUGCUUCUUGAACCAUCUUUCCUUCACUCAUGUCUUCUGACACUAAGGGCUCUUAUUCUAUGCAAAAUUGCCCUAGGGAGCUCCCUAAUACUUGAACUAGGACCUGGGGAUCACAUCGCUUUGAUAGCAAGACAGAAAAAAAUGGGACUGGGACAAUGACAUCCUCAUACGUUUGGACACAUUUUGCCCCGUUUUUAACAGGGUGAGGCUUAUGGCCAUCACUUUGCCUUCUCUUGGAUGCUUAAUUCAUCAACCACCCUUUCUUCUUCCUUCCAACUCUCUGUGGAACUAAAAUACACCACCAGGCCCUUCAUUACGAGUGCCAAACAUGAGGGCAUACAAGAAAGAAAAUAUCUUAAAUGCAAGAAAGCUGUAGAAAAUCAAAUGCCUUUGUGAUCUCAAUUCUAUAUUUACGUGUGGGAUCUAGGGGUAAAUAUGUAUAUGAUAUCAAAGAGCCUAUUACACAUUAAAAUUUUUUGUUAAUAUAGAUUUUAUAGUGAUCAUUCUUCAAGCGCCUUCCACACGGAACCUCUGCACUGAGCAAUAAACAUUGCUUAUUAAUGAAACCCAUUGCUUAGCCUGUCAGGAGGCAGCGACACUCUUCUGUAAAUACUUUACGCAUGGGUUUUCCUCAGUGUCAGUAGAAAAAUGUGUAGGGAAACAUGCAGCGACAACUGUGUCGGAUUUUAGCAGACAGAUCUCUCGGUUGUUCCAGGAGGUCCACCUCUUCCAAGGGAGAAUCUUCCCCAAACUGAGGGAGAGAUUCUCUUCGUUUCUGUUCCCAACUUCUAGAAGAGAUAGCAUGACACCCCUUUGCCCUUAGACCAAAAUAAACAGAUGUUGAAACACUAAUUCCAAAUAACCUAUUGUUGUGAAGGUGAGGACAUUUUUGUCAUUUAAUAUUCAACCUCGAACAUACCAAGGUAUUAAGUAGAAAGGAGCAGCAUUUUAAGGACUUGCAUUCUGCAGUAUCCCAGCAGCAGAAGGGGAUCACUCUCCUCUCCAGACUGUUGGCAGAGGGCAUUGAAAAUGUGAUUGAGAAUGAAAAUGAAAUGAAAAUGAAACCUAACACUGGUGUCUCUUCGAACCACUCUGUAUAAUUUAAUGUACUUAAACUCUUCCUGCAAAAUCCUGCUGCUUCUCCGUUGUUUGAUAUUCUGACCAUUUUUGAACCCUUGAACUCUGACAGAGAGGAGGGUCUUGGAAAGGUUGUCAUCCGAUCGGUGUUAGAAGGCAAAAGGGAUAGCUCUCUCCUUGAUAGCUCUUCUUUCUGCUUAACGGUUGGUGGGAGAUUAAAAUGAUCUAGGUGGAGAAGACCGGUGCAAGGUCGGGGGACACCACAUUUGGGGGGAGGGUUUGUCUGCAUGUCAAAAACUGGACAGGGUUUGGUUUUUUAUCCCCUUCUUUUUUCCUGCCACACUGUAAGAAGAUUUCACUGCUUAUUUAUUCAUUUUUAUGAUUAACUCCAAGUCUUGAAGGAGACUUUUUCUUCUGCUAUGCUACUGUCCAGCCAGGAUCGUGGUUAGACGCUGACAUUCUGAGUUCCAGCCAUAUUAAUUGCUGGAUAAAGGCUAUAAUCCUUCUCUCUUUGAAGCCCAAGGCUGAUUUUUAGGCAACACUUCAAAAGCAGAGCACAACUGAAGAGGCAUGUUUCCUACCAGCACUGAAUUACCAUGAUCGACUCAGCUUGCGUUAGUCUACACGUACCUUACAUAUUUGGCUACCCAACCGAUUUGAUUUUGACACUAGAGAGCAAAAGAAAAUACCUUAUGUUAUCUAAAGGGUGAUCUGUAACUCCUUGUGAGGUAUUUUGAUGGUUAUUUAAACCACCUUAGAAAUAGAAACACCUAAAUCAUUCUUUCCUUACACAAGAAAACAUCAUGCUUGAAAGUUCUCGCCUCUCUCUCUCUUUUUCGUGUUUUGGCGCAACAUCAUAUAAAGCCAUCAGUCUGGGUCCACUGUGAUUAAUGACAAAAGCCUAUGUAAAUAAGGCAUUUCAUACAUUCUCAAAUUAUUGUAACCCAUGGAAGUCUUUUCAAAAUAAUUUCUCACAUCAGCCAUGUAAAAGCCAACCCAAAAUAUGUAAAGCAACUCUUACAAGAUUUUAAAACAAGUAUGGAGUAUAACUGUUCCAUAAAAGACUAAACAGAAACAACCAUCCCAACACCAACAAAAACAAAAACUAAAAAAAGGCUAAAGUAAAAUGGAAAUGCAUGACCAAUAUGGAACUUUUCACCGGUGUCUGUUUCGCUUACAGCUUGUUUAUCUCUGGAUCUGUGCUAUCAGGACUUUCUCAUAUAGGAUUUGCCAAGUGUACUUAGUGUGCUAUGUUUGAGAAAGAUUAACAGUAUUUCAGAUCAAAGGAGGACCCUGCUGCAUGGUCUUACGAGAUUGUCAUUCACUCCCAUUAUGGCUCAUUUGCACAAGAUUUUCAUGUAAUAUGAGCCAUUGUUUUGAUGGCAGUGAUUUGACAUAAAGACAGGGCCGAACUGCAUCUCUGCGUCCUCCUCAGCCAGGCUGGGGGGUAUCUUGGUCCCAAAGAACUUGCCAAUCAUAAAAGGCAACUGUUACUCAGUUAUGGAUCAGCCUUCCCCCCACCCCCAACCAUCCGCUGCCCCCACCUCCUUGUUUUUAAGGUGGAAAACUUCUUGAAUGUUCACGGAUACCAUAAAAAUCAGACAAUGCCUACUUGUGCUAGAUUAGAUACAGUUUAACCAGACAAAGUUUCAGAUACCCUAUUCAAGAGAGCAAGUUAUGAGGCAUUUUAGAGAACUGCUUUUUUCUCGUGCUUUCUGCCAUGCUUAUUUUGAUUUUAAAAUAACUUGAAGUGGUGAAAAGUUAUGUCUGAGCUACACUGAAAACUUUUCUUUAGGCUGUAUUUAUGUUUUUCUAGUGAUUUAGUUUCUUGGCUAUGCAUAGAAUAUAUAUUCACCUAUUUACAUAUACUAGUCACUAAUGUUCUCUCUUUCUUUCUCCAAGUUAGAUUUAAAAGGAAAAAAGAGAGAGAGGUAUUAUCGCUGCUUCAAUGGUGCCCGACAAUACAAAUGAAAAAAGAAAUAUUCAAUCAAAAUCCAUAAGAUUUCAAAUGUAAUUUAUUUAACUAGAGACAAUAUCCUCUUAUUAACUUUAUACAGCAUAUAUCACGAUAUAAAAAAUGCAUUUUCGUUGUAUUUCUACAAAUAUGGCAAGAAAAAUUUUGAAGUGCUUUCUUCGAAGUGUUAAAUGUAAAGAAUUAAGAAUAAAAACAUUGGAAUAUAAUCUCUUUUUAGUGUCUGGCUUGAGUUUUCUAAGUUAAUGUAUUUUAAAUCUGAAAUUGUAGUGCUUGUGCAGCAUUUACUAUUUCUGGAAACAUGCUGGUUAAUUUUAUGCAGCAUUUAUUCAAAUGCUUUCUAUACAAAGAUGCAUCCAAAUUUUUAGAGUUCUAAAAUUUAUUUUAUG
rnacentral:lncRNA from 1 species